rnacentral:rRNA from 1 species
UACAGAGGUCUCGAGCGUUUGUUCGGAUUCAUUGGGCGUAAAGGGCGCGUAGGCUGCGGGGCAAGUCGGGUGUGAAAUCUCAGAGCUCAACUCUGAAACUGCACUCGAUACUGCUUUGCUUGAGGAUUGGAGAGGAGAUUGGAAUUCACGGUGUAGCAGUGAAAUGCGUAGAUAUCAGGAGGAACACCGGUGGUGUAGACGGCUUCUGGACCAUAACUGACGCUGAGACACGAAAGCGUGGGUAGCAAACAGG